rnacentral:rRNA from 1 species
ACGGGUGAGUAACGCGUGGGAACGUGCCUUCUGGUUCGGAAUAACUCAGGGAAACUUGAGCUAAUACCGGAUACGCCCUUUUGGGGAAAGGUUUACUGCCGGAAGAUCGGCCCGCGUCUGAUUAGCUAGUUGGUGGGGUAACGGCCUACCAAGGCGACGAUCAGUAGCUGGUCUGAGAGGAUGAUCAGCCACACUGGGACUGAGACACGGCCCAGACUCCUACGGGAGGCAGCAGUGGGGAAUAUUGGACAAUGGGCGCAAGCCUGAUCCAGCCAUGCCGCGUGAGUGAUGAAGGCCUUAGGGUUGUAAAGCUCUUUUAUCCGGGACGAUAAUGACGGUACCGGAGGAAUAAGCCCCGGCUAACUUCGUGCCAGCAGCCGCGGUAACACGAAGGGGGCUAGCGUUGCUCGGAAUCACUGGGCGUAAAGGGCGCGUAGGCGGUCUUUUAAGUCGGGGGUGAAAGCCUGUGGCUCAACCACAGAAUUGCCUUCGAUACUGGGAGACUUGAGUUCGGAAGAGGUUGGUGGAACUGCGAGUGUAGAGGUGAAAUUCGUAGA